ensembl:lncRNA
UACUUAACUUUUUCCAUCCUUAUCUCACAUAAGAUAUUGGAAGCCUCCUCAGAUGCCAUGGAAUAAAAUUUGAAAAACACUGGAUGAAGUCAACAUUUUUCAAACUUUCGCAAACAUAACCCUCAGGAAGAAAUGCAUUUUACAUAGUGACCCAGGACACACUAACAUAUAGAUAAUUGAAACUGCUGCUCUCAAGACUACUUCACCCUAAGUACAACACAAUCUCAUGUUUUCUAUUCUACUCACCUCAUUUUUUGAAUGUCAGCCAUGAACUACUAAAUUGAUUUUAUAAGCCACUAAAUAAGCAAUGCCUCGUAGUUGGAAACUAUUAGACUAGAUGAUCUCUUGAAGAAGCCUUUCAAGUUUUAAACUCUAUUGGCCUAUGGUUCUACAGCUUCUGUAUUCUCAAUUUCUAUUGUUUAUUCUCAGGGCAGAGAAGGAGGUGAUGGGCACCUCCAAAAAGAGCAGAAGUUAAGUUCUAGAUAAGCCACAAUCACACUCCCCAAGUGCAUGAAGACCACAUAAUCUCAUGGGCAUGAAUAAAAUCAAUGGAUCACUCUUAUGAGGAAAGCUCACUCCCGAGUCAGACUACCUAAGUUUAAAUCCCAGUUACUUAGGCUUUUUACUUAACCUCCUUAUCAGUAAUUACCUUCUCUGAAAUUUAUGCCUAAUAAUUCAUACCUACCUUGCAGGGUCAUUAAUAGGAUUAAAUAAGAUAGGGUAUAAUGAAUUAGUUCAGUGACAGAAAAACGUGAAGUGCUCCAGGUUCUCUAGUAUUUAUGGGAAGUAAAUGGUUUUUUCCAAAGGAGUGAGCUUAAUUAUCAAGACCAAAGAUGUAUAAAUAAUGCCCCUCCCCCACCCCCAGCUUUAAUAAGCAGGGAGAUGUAGGUUCAAAUUCUUUCUCUGCCACUGACCAGGUGUGUGAUCUUAGAUGACUCACACUUUCUGAGCUUCAAGAUCCUCAGUUGUGAAAUGGAAAUUACAAAACCUAUCUGAUAAAGUUGCUAGGAGGAUAUUAGGAAUAAUGAUAAAACAAUCAAUAUAAGACACCUGAUCCAGGACUUGAUAUACAGUAAGUGCUCAAGAAAAAGAGUGGUGGUAGAGAGAAACACCCUAACAAAAUCUGGCCAAAAAAAAAAAAAUCAAAGUGCUUUGAAAAGCAACUGUUGAUAUUUUUAAAUAAUUAAAGAAAUAACUACAGUCAGAUCACAUUGGUUAUUUUAACUGUGAUGCAUUGCUCUAAAAUGCAGAGCUCUACUAAGAAGUUCCAGCAACAUAGAGUUGUGGAAUUCAUCACUCUAUCGUGUGUGUGUGUGUGUGUGUGUGUGUCAUCUGUUUGACUCAGAAAACACAAUCAUCUUCAGUGUACCACACAAUGUGCUGAGGCUACAGGAUAAAUAAGGCAAGUUCCUGUCAUCAGGAAACCUAUACUUUAUCAAUAUUUCAUCUCCCUCUCUGUCUCUCUGAAGCUCUCUCCUCUUUAUUUAGCACUUACUAGGUUAUAGGCACUGUGCCAGGUAUUCUACAUCAUUUCACCUAAUUCUCAUAGCAACCUGAUCAGAUAGGCUCUGUUAUUCGCAUUUCAUAGUAAAGAAUUCUAAGGCCACAUAACUGUUCAGGGGCAGAGCAAGGAUGUGAACUCAGGUUUCUCUAUUAACCCCUAGUCCUCUAUAACUUCCUGUAGGAGCACAAAGGUGUGAUACCUUUCCUCGUCCUUCCUCGUCAUAAGGAUGGCACCUCUAUAACAAGACAGGAUGACAAGAGAAAAGCAUGACAAUUUUUUUAAAUGAAAGUUUGAUGUGACAUAGGAACCUUCAGAAAUGAAGACCCAAUGACCUACAGAAAACUAUCCAGUUUUAUGCUUAGAUUCAGUGAAGAAUGGACCGCCAUGUAGAAAUGUGAUCGGGCAAGAGGGUAUGAUCUGUUGGUAACAGAGGGCAACUCAGCAUGAUCUGUCUGUUCCUAUUCUUCUUGGCCUCGCUGUGUGGCAUUUCUUCCUCCCAGGUAUCGGGUAGGAUUCCUCCGAAAUGGGAGUCUGAUGACCUACUAUCCAGUAAGGUAGGGCGGAGAAUUUCUUUUUGGCCAGCUCCUCCCCAGUAAGGUGGGAGAAAGUUUUUUCUAGUUUUUGUGGCUGGUUCUGGGCAAAAAAGAGGAGUGGGAGCAGAAGUUCAAAAGGAUCUCACUUCUAUGAACUCCCUAUGUCCUUCAGCUCAAAAUACUCAGCAGACCAUGGUGCCAUACUUUGGGAUAUCAUGUUCUAAAUGCCAACACUCCCAAUUCUACUCCUAUGAAUUGAUAAACAUAGAAAGUUCACCAGAUAUAACAAAAUACUAGCUAUGUAGUGUCUCUCUGUGUAGAUCAUAACAGCAUAGGGUAGGAACUGAGAACAUGGAUUUCAAACUUGGUUAGAUCUAGGUUUGAAUUCUUGUGGUACCACUUAGCUCUGUGGAGAGAGAGAGAGAAAGAGAAAGAGAGAGGGAGAAUUGAAUUGAAACAUGAUAUAAUAUAAAGUUUACAUAAAUACAUACACACACACCAUACACACACAAACACACACACAUACAUGCACAUACCACUACCCCCAUAGGCUCACUGUGAAAGGUACCUUAAGAGAAGACGGAGAAGAUCUAAUUCAAUCUCCUUACUUUGCAGUGGAGAAAAUCAACCCUGGGUGGGGACGAGGGCACAGUGGAUUUCCUGCCAGUGCUCCCACAGGGAGGGAGAGACUGUUACCAUGUUAC